rnacentral:rRNA from 1 species
AGAGUUUGAUCAUGGCUCAGGACGAACGCUGGCGGCGCGCUUAACACAUGCAAGUCGAGCGAGAACCAAGGCUUCGGCCUUGGGGAAAGCGGCGAACGGGUGAGUAACACGUGGGUAAUCUGCCCUCGACAUCGGGAUAGCCCGGGGAAACCCGGAUUAAUACCGAAUGGCCCAUCAGCUUUUCGGAGCAGAUGGAAAAGGUAGCUUCGGCCUCCGGUCGAGGAGGAGCCCGCGGCGGAUUAGCUUGUUGGUGAGGUAACGGCUCACCAAGGCUCCGAUCCGUAGCUGGUCUGAGAGGACGAUCAGCCACACUGGGACUGAGACACGGCCCAGACUCCUACGGGAGGCAGCAGUGGGGAAUCUUGCGCAAUGGGCGAAAGCCUGACGCAGCGACGCCGCGUGAGGGAAGAAGGCCUUCGGGUUGUAAACCUCUUUCAGGAGGGACGAAGCCACUCGGGUUAAUAGCCCAGAGGGUGACGGUACCUCCAGAAGAAGCCCCGGCUAACUACGUGCCAGCAGCCGCGGUAAUACGUAGGGGGCUAGCGUUGUCCGGAUUUAUUGGGCGUAAAGAGCGUGUAGGCGGCCAGGUAGGUCUGCUGUGAAAACUCGAGGCUCAACCUCGAGACGUCGGCGGAAACCAUCUGGCUAGAGUCCGGAAGAGGAGAGUGGAAUUCCUGGUGUAGCGGUGAAAUGCGCAGAUAUCAGGAAGAACACCCGUGGCGAAGGCGGCUCUCUGGGACGGUACUGACGCUGAGACGCGAAAGCGUGGGGAGCGAACAGGAUUAGAUACCCUAGUAGUCC